CUGUUAUUCACAGCGAAAGAGAGAGAGAGAUAACGUUGAUUUACACACGUCGAGAAUGACGGGGGAGGAGGCUUUGGCCUCUGCUCCCGUUCAUCCCCUUAGCCGUCAGCCGGAAUCCCUUGGGACUCGGCGGCGGUCAGGGCGAGACCG
rnacentral:lncRNA from 1 species